rfam:Picea glauca, whole genome shotgun sequence.
AUGUAAUGUAAUUCCUACAACGUUAAUGCACCAUAUCCCAUUAGAAAUCUGCAGUUAAGUGUGCAUGGGAUAGAUUAGUACUGGGAUGGGUGACCUCCUAGGAAGUCCUAGUAUUUUACAUG